UUUUGCUGCCUGUGCUUUUGGUGGAACAGCCAAGAAGUUAUUGCCAAGACCAAUGUCAGGAAGCUUCUCUCCGAUGUUUUCUUCCGGGAGCUUCACAGCUUCAGGGGUGCAGGGAAUUACCCUGAAAACAGGAAACUCCAGUCGACACAGGUACCAAUUUAAUGUAUGUUCCUCAAAAAGAGUUUGUAUAAGGUCCUGCAAAGCCCACUGCGUUAUUCUACUAGUGCCAUGAUUAUGCUUUGUAACAAAUUGCUCAAAACUCAAUAGUUAUAAAAACAAGCAUUCUUAUAUUCAAAGAUCUGCUUAUUGACUACUGUCCAGCUGAUAAAGGCUGUGUUCGAUUGUGCUUCAGGAUGCGUUUGGAUGGGCUUGAAUCUAGGACAUAGAUUUAUGCAGGUCUGCUGCAUGUGUUUGUUCAGGGACCCAAGCUGAGGUAGCAGGACCUGAGCAAGUCACAUUUUCCCAUAAAGAAUCACCUGAAUACAAGAGUCUAACCAGACCAUGCAAGUGAUUUUCAGACUUGGUUUUCAUGUUUAUCAUGGUUAGUAAUGUUCCAUUGGCCAAAGUAAGUCAUAUGACCAAGCCUAACAUCAGUGGACCAGGAGAAAUGUUUUGUUCAUAGUGGUGGUGGUGGAGUUGAUUUCAAUCUGGGUUCUAUCAGCUACUAGUCAUGUGGUUUUAGGAAAGUCUCUUAAUCAAUCUGUACCUCCAGUUUCCUCAUCUGUAAAACAAAGCAUGCCCUUGUUGGCAGGUUAGUGUAGGACUAAGGAAUUAAUGCAUGAUUUGUGUAUUGCCUUGCAUGUUGUAGGCCAACAACGAAUGAUAGCUAUCAUCAUUUGCAUGUGUUUAUUUAUGCUGUCCCAGAGUUUCUAAGAGCAAUAUAAUAGUAUCAGAUCAUCUAUGAAGUAAAGGGUAAGAGACAGUGAACCUGGUUUUUCUACUUUGGGUUCUCACAUCUCAAUGGAAUACAGGAAAAGGCUAAGAAUUUGCUAAGAGUUGGAGAAUGGGGGCUGUUUAAGGAGAGUUUGAGGGAUUCUGGGGGUUUCUUUUCCUUCGCUGUGAAUCAUGUUUACCACUCACUUCAAGGCAAAUGAGGAUGUGCAGGAGGCUAAUUUGGAGAACUUGACAUAUCAGGAAGUAGCACACGACUUGUGUCUGAACAUUAUAAAGACAAGAGACUCUGGCGAAGUCACAGAGCCGGCCAAGAGGAGCCACCCAAGGGCAAGAUUGCUUGGGGAGUGCGGACUCCCUGCUGUGCCUCUCCUGAGAAGCCAAGAUAAGGGAGGAGAGGCCACAGUGUCUCCUGACUGAUAACCAGGCUCCACCCAGAGGCCAAUGGUGUGUGUAAGGGGACAGGGGCCUUCAGUGGCAGAAGUGCCCCUUCUCCAGGACCAACGAACUGGGGUGGAAGGAGGAGGGGGGCCAUUUCCUGAACCCUAGUCCUGGGACUCGGCACCCAGACCACAACCAGGAAAGAUUUGGGGAGCCAGAGAGAAGGACUGACGGACAGACUGCAAGCCCCCUGGAGAAAACCACUUCUUUUUGGAGUCAGAGGCCUCAGCUGGGGAGUGGGGGCAGCUGCUGUCUUCUCUCCUCCCCCCGCUCACUCGGUUCAGG